rnacentral:rRNA from 1 species
GGGCUACACACGUCAUACAAUGGAUGGUACAAAGGGUCGCCAACCCGCGAGGGGGAGCCAAUCCCAUAAAGCCAUUCGUAGUCCGGAUCGCAGUCUGCAACUCGACUGCGUGAAGUCGGAAUCGCUAGUAAUCGUGGAUCAGAAUGUCACGGUGAAUACGUUCCCGGGUCUU